rnacentral:misc_RNA from 1 species
CCCUUCUUCGACUCUCUCCCUUCUUGUCCAUGUAGGUACGUUCCCCUCUCUCUCUCUCCCUUCUUCGACUUCGAUCGCGCUCGGGCACGCCGCCGCCGCCGUGCACGCGCCGCCGCCGCGCGCGUGUAAAAACCCUAGGGCGCGCGUCUCUGCAGAGAGUGAGAGAGAGGGAGAGGAGAGGAGAGAGGGAAAGGGAAGAGAGAGGAGGGAGAGGGAAGAGAGAGGAGAGGAGAGAGGGAAAGGGAAGAGAGAGGAAAGAGAGAGGAGGGAGGGAGAGAGAGAGAAGAGAGAGGAGGGAGAGGGAAGAGAGAGAGGGAGGAGAAGAGAGAGGAGAGGAGGGAGGGAAAGGGAAGAGAGGAGUAGAUCACCAACAUCUCCGACGAUGAAGAUGAGGAGAUCGAUUGGACGACACUGAUAGACGACGAGGAGUAGAAAAGUAGAAAAGUAGAUCACCAACAUCUACGUCCUAUACGACUCUCCCUCUCUAUACGUAACUCGAUAAUAUUCGUAUCACAAUAUUAGGGGUUAGGGUUAGGGCUUAGGGUUAGUGUUAGUGUUUAAGGGUUAGGGUAUUUGUUAAUAUGAAUUUAAUUAUUGCUUA